UCAUUGGCUUCUGUAAAUUCCCCUUUGUGUGUAAGGAGUGGCUAAGAAAGUGGAAUGACAGAACUAGUGUGAAUGGGUGAUUGAUGGUCAAUGCAGGCCUGAUGGGCUGGAGGGUCUGUUUCCAUACUACAUCUCUAAAAUAAGCACUCUGCAGAAAGCUGCUGCUU